AUGUAUCUCUGACAGAUCUGGAGCAGUUAAUGUCUGCUUCUAAGGUUUCCACUAUCGAUGCAAGAAAAAGAAGGUUCUCGUGCUUUCUGUCUGCCUGGUGGUGGCAGCCAAGAUUGAAUGGGGGAACACAGGA
rnacentral:snoRNA from 1 species